rnacentral:rRNA from 1 species
AGUCUAAGCCAUACUGCCCCGAACACACCCCAUCUCAUCUGAUCUCUGAAGGUAAGCAGGGUCAGGCCUGGUCAGCGCUUGAAUGG